UGAUCAUCUGAAAUCAUAUGGAAGUUUGGCGGACCCGAAUAUUAUUUAGUCGAUGACCAAGGAAAAAUCGCUAGACAGCCAUAUUAUGUAGAGGCAGACCGUGACUUUAGACAUCAAAUGUCUUCUAUUCAUCAGGCUUCGUUAUUACAAUAUUAUGCAUCGCCGUGAUAGUAUAUUCUCGUGUCGAUGAUAAGUGCUCACAAUUUGAAGUCGCGUGUGAGUUAAUUUUGUCGCUAGCGCUGUUGGAUAACGCGCCGAAAAAAAAAAAACUAU